rnacentral:tRNA from 2 species
GCCCGGAUGAUGGAAUUGGUAGACAUACCGGACUUAAAAUCCGGAGCCGCAAGGCGUGCGGGUUCGAUUCCCGCUCCGGGUACCA